rnacentral:rRNA from 1 species
AGAGUUUGAUCCUGGCUCAGGACGAACGCUGGCGGCGUGCCUAACACAUGCAAGUCGAACGGAACUGUUUUGAAAGAUUUCUUCGGAAUGAAUUUGAUUUAGUUUAGUGGCGGACGGGUGAGUAACGCGUGAGUAACCUGCCUUCAAGAGGGGGAUAACAUUCUGAAAAGAAUGCUAAUACCGCAUGACAUAUCGGAAUCACAUGGUUUUGAUAUCAAAGAUUUUAUCGCUUGAAGAUGGACUCGCGUCCGAUUAGUUAGUUGGUGAGGUAACGGCUCACCAAGACCGCGAUCGGUAGCCGGACUGAGAGGUUGAACGGCCACAUUGGGACUGAGACACGGCCCAGACUCCUACGGGAGGCAGCAGUGGGGGAUAUUGCGCAAUGGGGGCAACCCUGACGCAGCAACGCCGCGUGAAGGAUGAAGGUUUUCGGAUUGUAAACUUCUUUUAUUAAGGACGAAAAAUGACGGUACUUAAUGAAUAAGCUCCGGCUAACUACGUGCCAGCAGCCGCGGUAAUACGUAGGGAGCAAGCGUUGUCCGGAUUUACUGGGUGUAAAGGGUGCGUAGGCGGCUUUGCAAGUCAGAUGUGAAAUCUAUGGGCUCAACCCAUAAACUGCAUUUGAAACUGUAGAGCUUGAGUGAAGUAGAGGCAGGCGGAAUUCCCCGUGUAGCGGUGAAAUGCGUAGAGAUGGGGAGGAACACCAGUGGCGAAGGCGGCCUGCUGGGCUUUAACUGACGCUGAGGCACGAAAGCGUGGGUAGCAAACAGGAUUAGAUACCCUGGUAGUCCACGCUGUAAACGAUGAUUACUAGGU